AUUGAACGCUGGCGGCAGGCCUAACACAUGCAAGUCGAGCGGAUGAAGGGAGCUUGCUCCUGGAUUCAGCGGCGGACGGGUGAGUAAUGCCUAGGAAUCUGCCUGGUAGUGGGGGAUAACGUCCGGAAACGGGCGCUAAUACCGCAUACGUCCUGAGGGAGAAAGUGGGGGAUCUUCGGACCUCACGCUAUCAGAUGAGCCUAGGUCGGAUUAGCUAGUUGGUGGGGUAAAGGCCUACCAAGGCGACAAUCCGUAACUGGUCUGAGAGGAUGACCAGUCACACUGGAACUGAGACACGGUCCAGACUCCUACGGGAGGCAGCAGUGGGGAAUAUUGGACAAUGGGCGAAAGCCUGAUCCAGCCAUGCCGCGUGUGUGAAGAAGGUCUUCGGAUUGUAAAGCACUUUAAGUUGGGAGGAAGGGCAGUAAGUUAAUACCUUGCUGUUUUGACGUUACCAACAGAAUAAGCACCGGCUAACUUCGUG
rnacentral:rRNA from 1 species